rnacentral:rRNA from 1 species
AUUGAACGCUGGCGGCAGGCCUAACACAUGCAAGUCGAACGGUAGCACAGAGAGCUUGCUCUCGGGUGACGAGUGGCGGACGGGUGAGUAAUGUCUGGGAAACUGCCCGAUGGAGGGGGAUAACUACUGGAAACGGUAGCUAAUACCGCAUAACGUCGCAAGACCAAAGUGGGGGACCUUCGGGCCUCACACCAUCGGAUGUGCCCAGAUGUGAUUAGCUAGUAGGUGGGGUAAUGGCUCACCUAGGCGACGAUCCCUAACUGGUCUGAGAGGAUGACCGGCCACACUGGAACUGAGACACGGUCCAGACUCCUACGGGAGGCAGCAGUGGGGAAGAUUGCACAAUGGGCGCAAGCCUGAUGCAGCCAUGCCGCGUGUAUGAAGAAGGCCUUCGGGUUGUAAAGUACUUUCAGCGGGGAGGAAGGCGGUGAAGUUAAUAACUUCACCGAUUGACGUUACCCGCAGAAGAAGCACCGGCUAACUCCGUGCCAGCCGCCGCCGUAA